AUACGGAGGGGGUUAGCGUUGUUCGGAAUUACUGGGCGUAAAGCGCACGUAGGCGGAUUGGAAAGUUGGGGGGGAAAUCCCAGGGCUCAACCCUGGAACUGCCUCCAAAACUAACAGUCUAGAGUUCGAGAGAGGUGAGUGGAAUUCCAAGUGUAGAGGUGAAAUUCGUAGAUAUUUGGAGGAACACCAGUGGCGAAGGCGGCUCACUGGCUCGAUACUGACGCUGAGGUGCGAAAGCGUGGGGAGCAAACAGGAUUAGAAACCCUAGUAGUCC
rnacentral:rRNA from 1 species